AUACGGAGGGUGCAAGCGUUGUCCGGAAUCAUUGGGCGUAAAGAGUUCGUAGGCGGCAUGUAAAGUCAGGUGUUAAAGGCUGAGGCUCAACCUCAGUAUGGCACUUGAUACUUGCAAGCUAGAAUGCGGUAGAGGUAAAGGGAAUUCCUGGUGUAGCGGUGAAAUGCUUAGAUAUCAGGAGGAACAUCGGUGGCGUAAGCGCUUUACUGGGCCGUAAUUGACGCUGAGGAACG
rnacentral:rRNA from 1 species